rnacentral:rRNA from 1 species
CGAAAGCCUGACGGAGCAACGCCGCGUGAGGGAUGAAGGCCUCUGGGCUGUAAACCUCUUUUAUCAAGGAAGAAGAUCUGACGGUACUUGAUGAAUAAGCCACGGCUAAUUCCGUGCCAGCAGCCGCGGUAAUACGGGAGUGGCAAGCGUUAUCCGGAAUUAUUGGGCGUAAAGCGUCCGCAGGCGGCCCUACAAGUCUGCUGUUAAAAAGUGGAGCUUAACUCCAUCAUGGCAGUGGAAACUGUUGGGCUUGAGUGUGGUAGGGGCAGAGGGAAUUCCCGGUGUAGCGGUGAAAUGCGUAGAUAUCGGGAAGAACACCAGUGGCGAAGGCGCUCUGCUGGGCCAUCACUGACGCUCAUGGACGAAAGCCAGGGGAGCG